rnacentral:rRNA from 1 species
CCUACGGGUGGCUGCAGUGAGGGAUAUUGGUCAAUGGGCGCGAGCCUGAACCAGCCAAGUAGCGUGAAGGAUGACUGCCCUACGGGUUGUAACCUUCUUUUAUAAAGGAAUAAAGUGAGGCACGUGUGCCUUUUUGUGUGUCCUUUAUGAAUAAGGAUCGGCUAACUCCGUGCCAGCAGCCGCGGUAAUACGGAGGAUCCGAGCGUUAUCCGGAUUUAGUGGGUUUAACGGGAGCGUAGAUGGGUUGUUAAGUCAGUUGUGAAAGUUUGCGGCUCAACCGUAAAAUUGCAAUUGAUACUGGCAGUCUUGAGUACAGUUGAGGUAGGCGGAAUUCGUGGUGUAGCGGUGAAAUGCUUAGAUAUCACGAAGAACUCCGAUUGCGAAGGCAGCUUACUAAACUGCCACUGACACUGAGGCUCGAAAGUGUGGGUAUCAAACAGGAUUAGAUACCCCAGUAGUC